rnacentral:rRNA from 1 species
GACGAAGGAUGCAAGCGUUAUCCGGAUUCAUUGGGUUUAAAGGGUGCGUAGGCGGACUUGUAAGUCAGUGGUGAAAUCUCUUCGCUUAACGAAGAAACUGCCAUUGAUACUGCAGGUCUAGAGUAUAGAUGACGUUGGCGGAAUAUGACAUGUAGUGGUGAAAUACUUAGAUAUGUCAUAGAACACCGAUUGCGAAGGCAGCUAACGAAACUAUAACUGACGCUGAGGCACGAAGUGCGGGGAUCAAACAGG